GGAAAAGGGAGUCCGGCUGCCGGAGCAACCCGUACCUGGACGAGCGCGAGGGAGGACGGGUUGGGCUCGCCACGCCCCGCGGUUACCGAGCCUGGUGGCUGAAGUAGAGGCCGAGAUGGAACAAGUGGAGCCGCUUUUCCUGCCUCUCUCUGUCCUAGCCGGCCCCCAGCCCACCCUUUGUCAGGCUGUAUGUAAGGUAAAGGAAAAAACUGCAGAAAUCUCCGAGAGAAGACUUCCCAGCAAGCUGUGAGCACAUCUAGCCGGCUUACUGAAGGAACGGUUAUGGUGAUUUUGUCAUGGGCCAUUUCAUCCGAGGGUCUUCUGCUAGGAGUACUGGGAGCCGGGUCCUCCAGCACCCAGUGUCCCCGACAGUCUCAGUCCAGAACGGAGUUGGAAAAAUGCAUUUGCCAUACCACUGGUGAUUACGCAAGAGUGGAGAUUGCGCUGCCGGGCCCUCCUGUGGUACAGGGACUGGAACACCGCCCCACGUUGAGUGAAGAAUGUCAUCAGCUUUACCAUUUGUCCGGUUACCUAAAGCCACAUCCCCAACACUACAACUUUCACACCCUGGAAUGUUUUUUGGAGGGGGGAGGGUUGGAAUAGAGGAGGAGGAGGAGGAGGAGGAAGGUGUGUAGGUAGGAGUUUGUUUCUUCCUGUGUAUCUGGUAGAAUCCUCAAUCAGAAAGAGCCAUUUUUUUCCUUCAGUUGCACAUUUUGUUCUUUAUAGAAAUUUCCAGCCUUACUUCCACCUUAUUCAUUCCCAGAUUCAAACAAAUACACAAACAAAAUAAAACCAACAAUAACUUUUCAGGUAUACAAUACUGCAUAUAAUAUUCCCAUUUGCUUUAAUUGUGAUGUGGACAAAUUGAAAAUGGAAAAUGAUAGUAAGAGUGUGAAAUGCCAACAGUACAGCAAGUCUAAGUUUGUAGUCCUGGGAGCUCAUGGUAAUAUUAUUUACUAGAAAUAUUUGUGUGUAAAAUAUAUGAGCCAAGAAGGGUGGAAUUUAAGGCAUGGGGAUAUUUAAAAAAUUGGUAGAAAAAUGGAAAAUCAUUAGAAAAUGAAAAGAAACAGGAAUUAAAGAACGGAUUUAUCCUCAUUUGUUCAUAAAGAACAAUAAUAGUAACUUACCUCUAUGGAUAGCAUACCUUUAUUCCAAAAGCUAAGGGUAUGAAUCAUUACAGAAAAGAUGUUACAUAAGAUAAUUAUGAUUAUGCUGAUGUUGUUUUGAGAGCUAGAUGUCUUGCUCUGUUGCCCAGGCUGGAGUACAGUGGCAGGAUCAUAGCUCACUGCAGCCUCAAACUCCUGGGCUCAAGUGAUUCUCCCACCUCAGCUUCCCAAGUAGCUGGCACUACAGGCAAACACCACCACACUUGGCUAAUUUGAUUAUAUUUUUGUAGAGAUGGGGGUCUUGCUGUGUUGCCCAGGCUGAUCUCACUGGUCUUAAGCAGUCCCCCUGCUUUGGCCUCCCAAAGUGCUGAGAUUAUAAGCAUGAGCCAUCUUUUCCAGUCCUAUUCUGACUUUUAAAAUCAUAUUUUUAAAAGAUAUGGAUAGACCAACAAAAUAAAAUAACUUCCCUAAAGUCAAAUAGGAAGUAUCUCUUAGAAUAAAGCCCUACAAUGGGUUUUCUGAUACAUAGAAUGUUUCAUUGUAUAUGUCCGUGACCCUUCUACAUGUUUUUUUUUAAUACUGAAAAAAUGCAAGACCAUGAAGCAGUGAUUCCCAUGCAAUUAAUGGGUGAGUUCUAGGCCUCCUUCUACAGAGAAGGGAUUAGAAAUUCUAAUAUUAAUGAACUUGAUUGAUCAUGUCUCCAAGUCCUCCUCUGAUUUCACUCUGUAAUCCAUGACUGGAUCUAAAUUCAGUCUGAACGAUCACUCUGUAUCUGUAGACACUAAUUUCCUUAAAAUUUGAACAAAUCCACAAUAAAAGUUUCAUAAGGCCCUGCCAGAUGAAUCACUGUCAAGGAUCUGAGUUUCCUGGAAGUCUCUUGGGGCCUCAGAAAUAGUCGUAGCAAAUACAGGUGGGGUGCAGCCUCAAGAAUAGAAAAUACUUCAUUGUAUUUUCUCUUCUACCAGUUGGCCUGACCUAUAGAUUCAUAGCAGUGCUCUGAAGCUAGAAAUUGUUACUAUUAUUGUUAGUGGCAACACUCCAAAAAUGAUGAUAACAGAAUUGCACUGUGCAUGAACCCUAUUUCUUUUCAUUAAUGACUUUUUAGGUGUCUUUAUUGCUAGGCUAUAUUCUUUUUCAGUUGUGUGAAUAGCCAUUGCAGAUAAUACCAUGGAUCCAUUUGUGGAGAACUCUGUAGUUGGAAACCACUGGGUCCAGAAGGAUCUUCAAAAACCCUUCUUGCCUAAAGCAGAUCUUACUGACUUGUUUCUCCAUUUAAUUUGUUUUCUUUAAUCUAGAGAUUUUAAUUAAACUCUCAAUCUCAACAGGGAUCCUUAGCAUAAAAUUUAAGAGAAAAUAAAAAUAGUGAUUUCUGUGCCCCCUCACAGAUAACCAACUAAAACAAACCCUACGUUUUUUUUUAAUCAAAUAGUUAAAAAUUUUAUCUACUGCCUAGGAAAUAGUGAGCUCCCUCAUUGUGUGUGUGUGUGUGUGUGUGUGUGUGUGUGUGUUCUUACCAAAUACAUCCUUUAGAGUUCAUUUUAUCAUUCCUAUGGAGGUGUUCAAGAAGAGAAAGAAGGUCUACUGGUGUUCUUAAAUCCAGACAUUCGCCUUAUUCUCCACUUUCUCCUUUACAGCUACCUGUAGAACAUCUUCAUGUGAAUUUGUUACAGAUGCUUUAAACUCAACAUCUCCAAAUGAUUUUCGCCCCUGCCCCUGUGCCUCCUUGGAUCUGUUCCUCCCCUGUGCUGCCUAGCCCUUUGACGGUGCCCACUAUCAACCCAGGCCUCUAAAUUAGAACCUUGGAUGCUACCUUUGGCUUCUCCAUUUCUCUAAUUCCCCAUCACAUCAUUAGCUGAAUCCUGUGAAUUCCAUUUUCUGAAUGUCUUGCAAAUCCGUUCCUAACUGCCACUGUAUUAGUUCAGCCUCUCAUCAUCUCACUCUCGGAACACGUGGUUCUUUCUCCUUCUCCUAAAUGUUGCAGAAACCCAAAUAAAAUUGUGUCACUUCCUUGAAUAAAAUCCUUAACUGGUUUCUCACUUUAAAUAAUAAAAAUUAAAAUUCCUUAGCACAGCAUACAAGACCAUUUUCUGGCUCUUGCAAACCCUUCCAGCCCCAUCUCUUGCCAUGUCUUUUUAGUGCUCUAUGCUCCACCAUACUGUGUUACCUGAAGUUUACCAAAUAUGUAAUAAUGUUUCAGUUCUCUAUACUCUUUCCCUUUUCCUGGGAACUCAUCUUUCCCUUGUCUUGCCUUUAAGAGUCUUAUUAAUCCUUCAAAUUCAGCUGAAAAUUGAUUUCCCAGCAGAAGAAUCUUUUCCUAGCACAUAGCAGACAGUUUACAGAAUUGUUGUGAAGAUUAACUGAGAUAAUACUAUCUCAGUUAAUAUAUACAUAUGAAAAUACUUCACAUAUAUGAAAAUGUAUAUAUACAUGUGUAUAUAUUUCAUAUAUACAUAUGAAAAUACUUAACAAGGAAGCUCUAUUUAAACAUAGGAUACUAUAUAUUGACAAUACAAAUAUUAAUUAUUAAGUAAAAGCUAAUGUCUGCUUUUCACUUCAAAAGGCAAAGUGAUUAUGUUAUAUUGGUAUAGGAAAAAACCCUCUCAAAUCAUUUUGAUUGAAUUUAAAGUUCUUAACUUUGAUAUGAAGAACUUUAUAACUUUUAAGCACCUUGAUUAAAUUAUUAUCAUGCCAACAAUCCACAAAGCAUUUAAAAGCAUUUAUUAACUGAUUUUCAAUGACUUUUAUUAAAUUAUUCUUGCUUUAUUAUUAAAUUAUUCUUGUUUUAUACUAAAUUGCAAUUUUAUUCAAUUCUUGUUUUUCACUAAAUUACAAGUGGAGAACUCUAAUAAAAAAUCUUGUAUUUUAUAGCUUUUAAAUGAUUUUACUAUUCUUUUGUUAUUUGAUUCACAAAGAGAUAGCAUUGCCCUCAUUUCAUAGGUGAGAUAAACUCCCUAGAAAGGCCAUAUUACUGAACAUCAUGAACCUGAUUUUUAAAAAAAAAGAAGAAGAAGAAAAAGAGAAAGACCAUAUUGCAAUGCUUUCUAAAAGUUAAGCGGUAUAACGUGAUGAAGCUAGAUAGUAGCAACCCAGAAAUGUAACACUAGUUUUUCGGUAACUACUAUUCUCCGAUGCUGAAAAAAAUGCGUUACUAGUUCCAUCUUUCCCAGUUUCAGGUUCUUGCUUGGGAUGACAAGAACAUGCAGUAAUAAAUUGUAAUUUAGGAAGAAGGUGAAUUAAUUACUUACACUACUAGAGGAGAAAACAAAAAAAUAUUUGGCUCACUUUGUGGUUCUUGAUUGGGAAAUCAGAGUAUAUAAAACAAAAAGUCAAAGAGUGUUGGGUAUUCCACUAAUAGUUUAUAAUCUAAAAUACCAUGGAAAUUUUUGCACUAAAAUAAAAAAUUACAUAUUUACUAAAGCAUUUUUAAAAUUUAUAGAUUUUGUCUCAAAACUCAGAGGCAUCAAGGAAUUCAUUUUUAUUUAAGUUGCUUGAGAUAUAACAAUGAAGGAAGAAAUUUUAUUGUAAAAUCCUAUGGAGUAAUAUUUCUGAGCCUAUCUUCUGAUAUUCGGUGAUAGAAAUGUAGUUUACUGUGCAAUUUCAGGCUGGUUUGGCAUAUUUUGGAUUUUAAUGAAAGAACAUUAAAAUAAAGUCAGUAAAACAUUAUUUAUAAUUAGAGCAUCUUCAGUUUUCUACAUUGUAUGUAAAUAGAAUUUCUAUGUUUUUUUUUUUUUCUUCUUGUUGUUGAGACAGGUUGUCACUUUGUUGCCCAGGUGGUUGGAGUCUGGUGGUUCACUGCAGCCUCUCCUGGCCUCAAGCGAUCCUCCUGCCUUCACCUCCCAAUAUGCUGGGAUUACACAUAUAUGAUUUUAUUUGAAGACAAAAUUUCACUGCUCAUUUUUAAUAUUUAAAUCACUGGGGGACUAGAAGAGUCAUAACUAGUGGUAAAGAGAAUUGGGAGAAAAGUUUUUACAAUCACAUUAGAAGAAAUAAACACUUGAACCAGAAAAGUAGCAGCGGAAAUGCAAAGUGUAUGAAUUUGAUACUGUUAGAGUAGAAUCAACAAAAUUUGACACUUGAUUAUGUAUAUCAGAGAAGGUAAAGUUAAAUGCAAUCGUAAGAUUUGGAACUGAAUCAUUGGGUCAAUGGUAUUGGUUUUAGUAAAAACAGAAGUGCAAGUUUGGAGAAGAGGAGAGCAAGAGGAUUGGCUUAACUGCUGGACAUGUUUCUUGCAUUUGAAAUGCUAUUGACACAUAUAGUUGGAGAAGUCCAGCAGGCAUCAAGAAAUUGCCUCAAGAAAUGCACCAAGAAAUUGCAUCAGACAUCAAGAAAUGGAACUUGGGUGGGAGGUCUGCACCAGAAAUAAAGAAUUGGUGGUUAUUCACAUACAGGUAAUGACUGCAGCCAGAGAAUAGAUUUGAUUGUCAAAGGAGUAUAGAGUGAAGAGACAAGAAGAGUAAAACUUAAAGAACCACUGAAGUUUAGAAAAAAAGGAAUUUGGAAGUUAAUUGUGCACUUGUUAUUCUCCCAACAUACUUGUUUGCAAAUUCCUAGAAAGUAGUAAUAGUUGUACUCAUUUUAGUAUUGUCAAGCAGCACUCAGAAUACUGUGUAUAAGGAAGUAUUUGCAGGAUUAAAAUGAUGAUGGGUAUUUAACCCAGCUAAAGUGGAACAUGGUCUGUUAAUAACAAAAAUAGUAAUUUGUUUUGAAUAUAUGCAUAUGGUUAAAUUGUUUUAGAAAAUGUUAAUAUUUAAUUAAAUUGAUGAUUAAUAACU